ACUUUGUUUAUUGAAAAGAAUUUAGACAAUUUAUAAAUCCAGGCGUAAUAGAAUUUUGAACAAUUUUUAGCAUGCUUACAAUUUUAACAACAGAAAUCCUCUACUUUAAUAAAAUGGUAUAUUAUAUUUAUUUAACAAUGACUUUCUAUUCUUGUAAUAUUCAUUGAAAUAAUUAUCACCAAGUAUUUAAAACAUUUCAUUAUUGCGAUAUAAUCUAGGAUCAAUAUUCAAUUUGAAUAAUAUUCGUAUUCGUUGAGAAUAUUUCAUGAACAGGAAUAUUUCCAUUUACCAAUAAUAACAGUAUUUCAUUAACCAACGCUCAAUAAGAGGAAUGUUUGUGUUGUAUAUUUCCACCCAUCCCCAACCUCCUCACUAAUCUUUUCUUCCAGGAAUUGUUGUGGCCGCGCGCAAGGCGGUCGGUAGAGCCAGUGUUUGUACGAACAUAUUUCCAAUGUUUUGAUUUUUUCAAGGGUGAACUGGCCCUGAACAGAGUUGCGUUUGUACAAUUAGGAAUCACGCGAUAGUAGAGUCAGUGUUUGCUGCGUAUUAUAAAAUAUUUUCUAGAGCAUCGCGGCUCUGAUUUUUCUUUUUUCAUCGCGAAAGUAGAGUCACUACAAUUGUUCGCCGAAAAUUAUUCACGGGCGCGUUACUAGUAUUUCAUAUCUUUAUUUUUAUUUUUAAUUUUGUUUUUUAAUUGCUCGAUAUAUCCGGUAUUAGAGUCAGUGCACCACUGAAGAGGAGUCUUGGGCGUUGCUCCAUGAGGAAAGAGUAUGAAUUUUUUGAUUUUGCCGAGUUCCUGGAUAUCCUGAUGAUGGCUUUCUUCACGACUUCCGUCUUGAUGAAUCUUCUCCUACAAGCCAGCCGCCUACCUGGUGUUGUCCAUCCUCCUACUUGACUGUCGGAAGAAGAGUAUAUCUGCGAACGGUGAGUCGCAUGUUUUAUGGUUCCUCUGGUGCCCAAACAUGUCGUAGGACGAAUGGUCCGAAUCGACACGGGCUACUAGUUGUAUACAUGCUUGGCAAGCAUAGUGACCAUGGGUAUUAUUAUACCCAUGAGUAGUAACAUUUUUAUUGUUUCAUUUCAUUUAGCUUAGGCUA